CUCCAUCGAUGAAUAGAUAAUAGAGUCCACUUUAAUUCAAAUACAAAUUAGAACAUAUUUAUAUCCAAGAUAUUAAUAUCUUGAAACCUCCAAAUCCACGGACAAAUAUUAAAAUGCUCUGAAGGGCAAUUAAACAUACAACUCAGAUUUAAAACCACACAUAAAUAAUCAGCUCAGAUUUCAUGCUUUGAUUCAUAAUGAUAAAACUUAUGGAACGACAGUACAAAAAUGGGAUAAGAGACUUUGUAAUGAACUUAAACAAUUAUAAGAACAGAAACUUCGCCUCCAAAAGUCCAAACGAAGACCUGACCUUCACUCUUUUCUUUCUUUUUCCUCUCUUUUUUACUGCCUUUCUUUGUUUUCUUCUUCAAAGUUUUUCCUUAUAUGUCUUUUUUUGGUUUCCCAUCCGAUGUUCGGUACCCGUAUUGGAGCCCGACUAAUUCAGAUUCGUGCUGGGUAGGGCCCAUUCGGGAGGUAGCGCUCCCAACAGAGUUUUAUCCAUGCCCAAGGUCGAACCCUCGACCUCUGGUUAAGGGUGGGACAACCCCAUCUGCUGCACCACAACUCAUGUUGGUGUUUUUCCUUGUAUGUAUUUCUCUCUAUUAAUUUUUCUCUCUCAAUUUUCUUUCUGAUUCUCUCUGUCUUUUCCAAUGUCCCAAGUCUCUCUCAAUUCUCUUUCUGAUUCUCUCUGUCUUUUCCAAUGUCCCAAGUACGUAAUUCUGUUUGAUGUAAUUUGAGGGAAUGCCCUUAAAUAAAGGGCUUUUGAGGGGGAACAGUUAAG
rnacentral:lncRNA from 1 species